CAGCAGCCACGGGAAUACGAAGGGGGCUAGCGUUGCCCGGAAUUACUGGGCGUAAAGGGCGCGUAGGCGGACAGUUCAGUCGGGGGUGAAAGCCCGGGGCUCAACCUCGGAAUUGCCUUCGAUACUGGCUGUCUUGAGUAUGAGAGAGGUGUGUGGAACUCCGAGUGUAGAGGUGAAAUUCGUAGAUAUUCGGAAGAACACCAGUGGCGAAGGCGACACACUGGCUCAUUACUGACGCUGAGGCGCGAAAGCGUGGGGAGCAAACAGGAUUAGAUACCCCGGUAGUCCCUGUCUCUUAUAC
rnacentral:rRNA from 1 species